CACCAAAUAACACAGAUUAGUUAUUAUGAUUUUAAAAGCCUAAUUUCCAAUAGCAUUAAAUCCAACACCAGUUAUAUGUUGUAUAUAACUAAAAUUUUGAAAGCCUUGCACACAAAAUGAGAGACUUAUUAAAAAAUGCCUUUUUUUUUCUUUUUGCCAAAAAAGGUUCUACAACUCAUUGCUAAUUAUUAUAUUCCUUUAGGGGUACUUUGAGGCGCUUUCAAAGACGUAUUUGUAGCAGUUACAUCUAAAUUAGAGCAGAACAUUGUGUCAGAUAUUUUGCUAUAUCACAAAAUGUUGUAGUACUGUAUUUUAUAAUAAAACCAAGUUAUCAAGUAUUCUGGUAUAUUACAUAUUAUUAUGCCAAAAAAAUCACUUU
rnacentral:lncRNA from 1 species